ACUCCUACGGGAGGCAGCAGUGGGGAAUAUUGGACAAUGGGGGCAACCCUGAUCCAGCAAUGCCGCGUGUGUGAAGAAGGCCUUCGGGUUGUAAAGCACUUUUGUCCGGAAAGAAAACGCCGUGGUUAAUACCCGUGGCGGAUGACAGUACCGGAAGAAUAAGCACCGGCUAACUAUGUGCCAGCAGCCGCGGUAAUACGUAGGGUGCAAGCGUUAAUCGGAAUUACUGGGCGUAAAGCGUGCGCAGGCGGUCCGCUAAGACAGAUGUGAAGUCCCCGGGCUUAACCUGGGAACUGCAUUUGUGACUGGCGGGCUAGAGUAUGGCAGAGGGGGGUAGAAUUCCACGUGUAGCGGUGAAAUGCGUAGAGAUC
rnacentral:rRNA from 1 species